rnacentral:rRNA from 1 species
ACGGGUGAGUAACGCGUGGGAACGUGCCCUUCGGUUCGGAAUAACUCAGGGAAACUUGAGCUAAUACCGGAUACGCCCUUAUGGGGAAAGGUUUACUGCCGAAGGAUCGGCCCGCGUCUGAUUAGCUAGUUGGUGAGGUUAUGGCUCACCAAGGCGACGAUCAGUAGCUGGUCUGAGAGGAUGAUCAGCCACACUGGGACUGAGACACGGCCCAGACUCCUACGGGAGGCAGCAGUGGGGAAUAUUGGACAAUGGGGGCAACCCUGAUCCAGCCAUGCCGCGUGAGUGAUGACGGCCUUAGGGUUGUAAAGCUCUUUUCUCCGGGACGAUAAUGACGGUACCGGAGGAAUAAGCCCCGGCUAACUUCGUGCCAGCAGCCGCGGUAAUACGAAGGGGGCUAGCGUUGCUCGGAAUCACUGGGCGUAAAGGGCGCGUAGGCGGCUGAUUUAGUCGAGGGUGAAAGCCCGUGGCUCAACCACGGAAUGGCCUUCGAUACUGAUUGGCUUGAGACCGGAAGAGGACAGCGGAACUGCGAGU